CAGUCGCCGCGGUAAUACGUAGGGUGCGAGCGUUAAUCGGAAUUACUGGGCGUAAAGCGUGCGCAGGCGGUUUUGUAAGACAGGCGUGAAAUCCCCGGGCUCAACCUGGGAAUGGCGCUUGUGACUGCAAAGCUAGAGUGCGGCAGAGGGGGAUGGAAUUCCGCGUGUAGCAGUGAAAUGCGUAGAUAUGCGGAGGAACACCGAUGGCGAAGGCAAUCCCCUGGGCCUGCACUGACGCUCAUGCACGAAAGCGUGGGGAGCAAACAGGAUUAGAUACCCCGGUAGUCCCUGUCUCUUAUAC
rnacentral:rRNA from 1 species